AUACGUAGGGGGCGAGCGUUGUCCGGAAUUAUUGGGCGUAAAGCGCGCGUAGGCGGCUGGUUAAGUCCUGUGUGAAAGACCACGGCUCAACCGUGGGGGUGCACGGGAAACUGGCCGGCUUGAGUGCAGGAGAGGGGAGCGGAAUUCCCCGUGUAGCGGUGGAAUGCGUAGAGAUCGGGAGGAACACCAGUGGCGAAGGCGGCUCCCUGGCCUGUAACUGACGCUGAGGCGCGAAAGCGUGGGGAGCGAACAGGAGUAGAUACCCUGGUAGUCCACGCCGUAAACGAUGAGUGCUAGGUGUUGGGGGCGUCAGGCCCUCUGUGCCGAAGGUAACCCAAUAAGCACUCCGCCUGGGGAGUACGGCCGCAAGGCUGAA
rnacentral:rRNA from 1 species